rnacentral:lncRNA from 1 species
GGCCGCGGGGCCUGGAAGCAGCCUCCGGGAUCUGCAAGUCUGGAAAGGCCACGUUGUGGACCUUGGCGCAGAGGUUAUGGGGGCGACCCGGAGCGGAUGGUUUCAGGAAAACUAGAACCCACCCUCAUGGCCUGAACAACUGGAGAGAAGAGGAUCGCAGCAAUUUAAAGCCAGCGGCAAGGAUCACAGUCCUGGGGAAUCACCUGGCGGUCUUGUGAAACUGCAGCUUCUAAUGGGCAAGUCAGAGGGGAAGCCUGAGACAUGGCAUUUCCAGCACGUUCGGGGAGUGAAGAUGCUGUCGGCUGCCACCCUCCCUGCAAGGAGCCAGGGGAUAGAUGACCUCUACGCAAACUGUGAGAGCUUAAAAUAACUGAUAGUGAAAAACAGUUACAGAAGCUCUAGGCCGGGCACGGUGGCUAAUGCCUGUAAUCCCAGCACUUUGGGAGGCCGAGGAGGAUGGAUUGCCAGAACUCAGGAGUUUGAGACCAGCCUGGGCAACACGGUAAAACCCUGUCUCUACGACAAAAUAAAACAAACAAAAAUAAAAGCCACGCAUGGUGGCGUGUGCUUGUAGUCCCAGCUACUCAGGAGGCUCAGGUGGGACAAUCGCUUGAGCAUGGAAGGAGGAGGUUGCAGUGAGCCAAGAUCGCACCACUGUACUCCAACCUGAGUGACAGAGUGAGACCCAAUCUCAAAAAAAAAAAAAAGCAGUAAAUCCAGGGCCCAAAAGGUCAGUAAGAAUUCAGGGAUCCAAAUCAGUUAUGUACUGAUGCAUAAAAAUAAUGGCCAAAAAUGUGGAGGCUUAAAACAAAAACCGGUUAUUAUUUCUCUCAAUUCUUUGGGUUGCUGGUGUCACCCGGGCUUUGUGGCUGGGCUCUAGGCUCACCUGGGGUGAGGAAAAGUUGGUGCAUUUUGCUUUUUCAUCCUCAAAAAGUUUAGACCAGGUUCCAGAUUUCUUGCGGCGGCGAGACACCUCGCCAGGAGAGCACCGCACUAUGCACAAGCCUUUGCUGGACUUCCAUUGACCAAAGGCAGUCACAUGGUCACGCCCAGGCAAUGUGGGAGGGCCCCGCAAAGGAGGGGUGGGUACUCAAGAGAGCCACUAAAUAACAAACCUACCUUAAGAUCACAUUUAUUUCUAACAUUUUAAUAGUUAUAGUUCAGUAUAAUUGAUUUUCCUGGUAAUCCCAUUUAUUUUAUUUUAUGCAUUUUAAAAUGUUAUUCUGAAAAUGUUACUCUCACCAAACAACCAAAAGGGUCCACGGCAUAAAAAAGGUUUAAGAAUCUAUGAUUUUAAAAUUCAAUUGGAUGGAUAAAAG